UACAGAGGGUGCGAGCGUUGUUCGGAAUUAUUGGGCGUAAAGGGCGCGUAGGCGGCCUGUUAAGUCGAACGUGAAAUCCCUGGGCUCAACCCAGGAACUGCGUCCGAUACUGGCAGGCUUGAAUUCGGGAGAGGGAUGCGGAAUUCCAGGUGUAGCGGUGAAAUGCGUAGAUAUCUGGAGGAACACCGGUGGCGAAGGCGGCAUCCUGGACCGAUAUUGACGCUGAGGCGCGAAAGCCAGGGGAGCAAACGGG
rnacentral:rRNA from 1 species